AAAGCGACAUUAAACACAUUCAGUGUUUCUGUCUAUGGUGAGUUGAGAUCAUUUGCCCACUCACAUAUUUUAUUUUAUUUUUCUGGAACUGUUAUUAGUGUAAAACACCAAAUAUUCACACAAUCAAGCAUUGAGUUUAUUCUCUGACGUUCUACAGCUCGUCUUCCUGUUCCUGUCAUCAGCAGUAACUCUUCCCAGUGUUCAUCAUCAUCUUCAUCAUCAUCUUCAUCACAGCAGAAUUGUUCAUUGUUGUGUUCAGUGGUGAAUGUGGGUCAUGUGACUCUCUCCUGGUACAAAGGAAACAGUUUAUUGUCCAGCAUCAGUGUGUCUGAUCUCAGCAUCAGUCUCUCUCUACCUCUGGAGGUGGAAUAUCAGGAGAAAAACAGCUACAGCUGUGUGAUCAACAAUCCCAUCAGAAACCAGACCACACAUCUGAACAUCAGCAAACUCUGUCACACAUGUGCAGCACCAGUCUCUCUGAUAGCGCUGAUCUCUGCUGGUGGAUCUUUGUUGAUUUUAGUUGCAGCUGGGAUCUUCUGCAUUUGCAGGAAAUACAGAAAAACUGAUCAAGAAUUUCUCAAAGUGGAUGAAGCAACAGCUCAGAAUCAUGAUGACGAGAUCAUUUACACUAAUCCGACAUUCUACAAAAGAAGUCCACAAACAGUGAGGGCUACAGAGGAGAAUCAUGUGGAGUAUUCAUCUGUCUGCAUAAGACGAUAAAACAUUCCUGAGAACAAGUCACUUUCACUAGACGUUUGGAUUCAGUAUGUGAUCUCUGAUCUUUGGAAGUUACAGACAUUUUUUGGGGGGAAUUGUUGAGAAUACACUCUGAUGUGUGGGAGCCUGAAAACAUCUAUUCUGGAACAAAAAUCUAAACAUUAACAUACAUUGUAUUAUUAUGAUAUAAAAACUACUUUCCCACUGAGCAAUUGUUUGAAAAUCUGAGUGAAACCUGUUUUGGUCUUGCUCAUGUUAUUAUAUAUGUGCAUAAGUGCCUAUUAUUUAACAUUUGUGGUUGCUGUGCAUUUGAGAGCAUGUUAGAGGAAGAGUGUUUUUCUCCGUUCCUGGCUGCUAUUCUGAAACCCAUUGUUCACCACAAUAUGCACGCUCAUCAUGAUCUAACAGAUAAGUUGUUAUCUCAAAUCAAACAGUGAUUGACUGUGAAACCUUACUGUGUGAACUGCGCAAAGGUCAUGUGUUUCUUUUUGUAAGUGAGAAAUUAAAUAUUUAAGUGCAUAUGCUUGCUUACCUCACUUCUUAGUUUUUGAACCUAUCAGGAAUGUUAUUACAAUAGGCUCGAUUAAUCAAAAUGUCAUUUUCAUUUUUGAUCACAAGGUGGUGAUGUCGCAAAACUUUUUGAGAUCCUUCAAGGCAUUGCACUACUACUGUACAUAUUAAGUUUUGUAUAUGUCAAUGCAUUUGUAAAAUAUAGGCUGAUUCUAAAUUCUAAAUAGCUGAUGGGCAAAUAUGGUAAAAUUGAGGAUUGUA